GGCGACCGCUAUUGGAGUUCGAUUAAGACAUGCGAGUCUGAGCAUUAGCUCGGCGUACCGCUUAGUAACACGUGGGUAACCUGCCCUAUCGUUUUGAAUAACCUCGGGAAACUGAGAACAAUACAUCAUAGUCCACUACGCCUGGAACGGUGAGUGGAUGAAGGUAGGAUGGGCCUGCGGCGUAUCAGGUUGUAGGGGGUGUAAUGGACCUCCUAGCCAUCGACGCGUACGGGUGUUGGGAGACAUAGCCCGGAGAUGGAUUCUGAGACACGAAUCCAGGCCCUACGGGGCGCAGCAGUUACGAAAACUUGGUAAUGCGGGAAACCGUGACCAGGGAACUCCAAGUGAGUCUCUUUUAGGGGCUCUUUUCUUGACUCUAAAACGGUCUUGGAAUAAGGGGUGGGUAAGGACGGUGCCAGCCGCCGCGGUAAUACCGGCGCCUCAAGUGGUCGUCGCUUUUAUUGGGCCUAAAACGUCCGUAGCCGGUUUGGUACAUUCGUGGGUAAAUCAGCUCGCUCAACGAGUUGAAUUCUGCGAGGACGGCCAGACUAGGGACCGGGAGAGGUGUGGGGAACUCUCAGGGUAGGGGUAAAAUCCUGUCAUCCUGAGAGGACCACCUGUUGCGAAGGCGCCACACUAGAACGGAUCCGACGGUCAGGGACGAAGCCUAGGGGCACGAACCGGAUUAGAUACCCGGGUAGUCCUAGGUGUAAACGCUGUGGACUUGGUGUUGGGGAAGCCCAGAGCUUUCCCAGUGCCGUAGCGAAGGUGUUGAGUCCACUGCCUGGGGAGUACGGUCGCAAGGCUGAAACUUAAAGGAAUUGGCGGGGGAGCACUGCAACCGGAGGAGUGUGCGGUUU
rnacentral:rRNA from 1 species